AUGUACUGGGUGCGCCAGAGCCCCGGGAAGGGGCUGGAAUGGGUCGCUGGGAUCAGCAGCCCUAGUGGUUCCAGCAAAUACUACGCGCCGUCGCCCCUGUGGCUCCUCUACCGCCCCUCCGGCUUCACCUUCGGCAGGUACUACAUGAACUGGGUUCGCCAGAGCCCCGGGAAGGGGCUGGAAUGGCUCGCUGGGAUCUGGACGGAUGGUUCCCGCACUUUCUACGCGCCGUCGGUGAAGGGCCGGUUCAGCAUCGCCAGGGACAACGGGCAGAGCUCGCCCCUGUGGCUCCUCUGCCGCCCCUCCGGCUUUACCUUCGGUGACUACACCAUGCACUGGGUGCGCCAGAGCCCCAGGAAGGGGCUGGAAUGGCUCGCUGGGAUCUACACGGAUGGUUCCAGCACCGCCUACGUGCCGUCG